GGGCUGGAAUCUCUCGGGGUUACAGCCUUGCUGAAUUAUUCACCCUUGUCUUUUGCGUACUUCUUGUUUCCUUGGUGGGUUCGCCCACCACUAGGACAAACAUAAACCUUUUGUAAUUGCAAUCAGCGUCAGUAACAAAUUAAUAAUUACAACUUUCAACAACGGAUCUCUUGGUUCUGGCAUCGAUGAAGAACGCAGCGAAAUGCGAUAAGUAGUGUGAAUUGCAGAAUUCAGUGAAUCAUCGAAUCUUUGAACGCACAUUGCGCCCUUUGGUAUUCCAAAGGGCAUGCCUGUUCGAGCGUCAUUUGUACCCUCAAGCUUUGCUUGGUGUUGGGCGUCUUGUCUCUAGCUUUGCUGGAGACUCGCCUUAAAGUAAUUGGCAGCCGGCCUACUGGUUUCGGAGCGCAGCACAAUUCGCACUCUCUAUCAGCAAAGGUCUAGCAUCCAUUAAGCCUUUUUUCACCUUUUGACCUCGGAUCAGGUAGGGAUACCCGCUGAACUUAAGCAUAUCAAUAAGCGGAGGAAAU
rnacentral:rRNA from 1 species